GAUGAACGCUGGCGGCGUGCUUAACACAUGCAAGUCGAACGGGAUCGGCUGGAGCUUGCUCCGGCCGUGAGAGUGGCGAACGGGUGAGUAAUGCGUGACCGACCUGCCCCAUACACCGGAAUAGCUCCUGGAAACGGGUGGUAAUGCCGGAUGCUCCGACAUGACGCAUGUCGUGUCGGGAAAGAUUCUAUCGGUAUGGGAUGGGGUCGCGUCCUAUCAGCUUGAUGGCGGGGUAACGGCCCACCAUGGCUUCGACGGGUAGCCGGCCUGAGAGGGCGACCGGCCACAUUGGGACUGAGAUACGGCCCAGACUCCUACGGGAGGCAGCAGUGGGGAAUAUUGCACAAUGGGCGCAAGCCUGAUGCAGCGACGCCGCGUGCGGGAUGACGGCCUUCGGGUUGUAAACCGCUUUUGACUGGGAGCAAGCCCUUCGGGGUGAGU
rnacentral:rRNA from 1 species